UACAGAGGUCUCAAGCGUUGUUCGGAUUCAUUGGGCGUAAAGGGCGCGUAGGCGGCCACUGCAAGUCAGUUGUGAAAUCUCCGGGCUUAACCCGGAAAGGUCAACUGAUACUGCAGGGCUAGAGUGCAGAAGGGGCAACUGGAAUUCUCGGUGUAGCGGUGAAAUGCGUAGAUAUCGAGAGGAACACCUGCGGCGAAGGCGGGUUGCUGGGCUGACACUGACGCUGAUGUGCGAAAGCCAGGGGAGCGAACGGG
rnacentral:rRNA from 1 species